AUGGCGAAGAAGAAGGCGACGCAACCAGAGGAAGAUAGGUUGAGCGCGCUGACGGACGAUGUUUUACUCUCUAUCUUGCUGAAAGUCGACAUAAGCACAGCCGCACGGACAAGCUCGCUGUCAACACGGUGGAGGCAGCUGCCCUGGCUGCUGCCUGAGCUCAAUAUUAAUGUCAGGUAUUUCCUGCCUGCUCCACGCUCAGAUCCGAUUGAGGCAAAUGACACGCAGGAAGCUAUGGUGGCUCUAACCAAAGCAAUCAGGAGUUUAUUGUCUAAACCUCGGAGAGGAUCCACCACCGCGAGGCUGGACCUUGUGAUCUACUUGAUCAACACUUUCUUGUCUGACCUCGGCCCACUGGUAGGUGACGCAGUCAAUUGUGGUUUGUUGAAAGAUUUGGAUCUCACCAUUUUCGACGAGACAGAUCUUCUUGACCGUAAUGAAGAGUAUAUGCUUCAGCGAGCCCAAGAUAUAGAUGGGUUUUUCACUGCCUACCCUAGUGUGCUCCAUUGCCUCACAAAGCUCUCUCUGUACAAUGUAUGCUUCAAGGAACUGGACAUCAACCGUGUCCUGUUUGACAGUUGCAAGGAACUGAAGCAUCUAACCCUCAUUUACUGUUAG
rnacentral:rRNA from 1 species